rnacentral:rRNA from 1 species
UACGGGGGGGCAAGCGUUGUUCGGAAUUACUGGGCGUAAAGGGCUCGUAGGCGGCCAACUAAGUCAGACGUGAAAUCCCUCGGCUUAACCGGGGAACUGCGUCUGAUACUGGAGGCUUGAAUCCGGGAGAGGGAUGUGGAAUUCCAGGUGUAGCGGUGAAAUGCGUAGAUAUCUGGAGGAACACCGGUGGCGAAGGCGGCAUCCUGAACCGGUAUUGACGCUGAGGCGCGAAAGCUAGGGGAGCAAACGGGG